UCUGGUAUCGAUGCGCUUGUGGGAAACACCCGUUCCCAUCCCGAACACGACGGUUAAGACGCAAGCGGCCGAUGGUACUGCACUGGAGACGGUGUGGGAGAGCAGGUGGAUGCCAGAU
rnacentral:rRNA from 6 species